rnacentral:rRNA from 1 species
UACGUAGGGGGCAAGCGUUGUCCGGAUUUAUUGGGCGUAAAGAGCGUGUAGGCGGCCAGGCAGGUCCGUUGUGAAAACUCGAGGCUCAACCUCGAGACGUCGAUGGAAACCGUCUGGCUAGAGUCCGGAAGAGGAGAGUGGAAUUCCUGGAUGUAGCGGUGAAAUGCGCAGAUAUCAGGAAGAACACCCGUGGCGAAAGCGGCUCUCUGGAACGGUACUGACGCUGAGACGCGAAAGCGUGGGGAGCGAACAGG